AAAACAUCUUACUGAUUUUUCAUCUCCCCUUCAUCCGGGUAAGCCUUGUUUUUCUUCCAUUCUUCAACUUUAAGCCUUAUUUUUCUUCCAUCCUUCAACUUUUUCCAUCUCCUUCUUCAUACAGGUAAGUCUUCUUCUUCUUCUGUUCUUCAAAUCUCUUCCCUUUUUCUUUAGUCCGUCGCAUAUCUUAUCUUCUCAGGCAAAUUUUACACGCUGCUGUUUCGUUUUCUAUCUUCCCCUCUUUCUCAGGAUCUCAUUCCUCUUCGCAAGGUAUGACAUUUUCUUUAAUUCUGCUUUUUCAUUUUGUUUUGGUAAUGGGUUUUAUGAUGUGGGGUUGUGGUUUUGGUGCAGAAACUGAUAUAGUUCCUAACCUGUAUUUAUCCAGAUCCAAAACCUUAAUCACCAUUCUUUGGUCCUCUUUAAUCUCAGGUUUGCUCUACAUUCUUUCCUGUUUAAUCAUUUUCUCAGUUUUCUUUGCAUGUAUUAUGGAUUAUAAUAAAAUCAAUUAAACCAAUGCCUUAAAAAGAAACCCAAAAGGAACUUAAAUUCUACAAAGUAACUAAAAAAAUAAAUCACUUGUAUUACUGUUUAGGGUGAGAAUUUUUGCCAUCGCCGUAAAAAGAAGAGGCGGAGGAAGAAAAAGAACUAACCCAAUUGCAGGUAAUUUGACAAGGCUUCUACCUUCUCUUUUAAUUUACUUUAAUUAAAACAUUUUACAGAGAGCUUAAAAUUAGAAACUUUAGAGUUAAUUAUAGUAUAAUAAUAGUAAUUUCACUAUUUAGAUCGUAAUAAUUGGUGAUGGUGACUUUAUAAAAUUAGGAAAUUUCGAAUUUACCUUUGAUUUCAUUUGCCCAAACUCCCCAUUCUCUCUGUCUUAUUUAUACUUUGUAUAUAUUUAUAGGAGUUCUACGUUUGUUCAAUUAUUUAUUUGUUUACGAGUGUGAAGUAAUGUAAACGAAUAAUGUGAUGAUUAUUAUUUUUAAAUAAUUCAUGUAAAACUUCAAACUGAAAAAAUUGGCUCGAGGCCUUGAACAUGUGUUUCUGUUCAUAGUUUAACUUUAUGCUACCCAGGCACGAGUACACUUUUUUUUCUUGGUUUCUAAAAUUUUCUAUAUAUUUGGAUAUCAUCUCAUGGUAUCUGUGUUUGAAUAUGCAUCAGACAUAGGUGUUGUACACGUUACAUAAGUACUUUAAAGCAAAUGAAGAGCUUAGAUGACAUAGGUUGAGCUAGGGUUGUAAACAAGUUGAGUCAUAGAUAACUCUUUCGUUGGUAAGUCUCUAGUAGUAUAUGGAAGUGAGCUCAAGUAUUUCAACAUCGGGGCGCUUGUUGGUUCUCAAGUUUAUCAAUGUUGUUUUUUAUAUGAUAUUUAUUGGUCUUUAUUGAGGUGUAUUAGUUCAUUUCAACUUUAGUUUUAUACCUCACUUGGUUAACAGUCAGGGGGUUGUAGAUUUAUGUUUUAUGCACCUCUCUUUGAUCAUUUUGUCAUCUAAUGGGAUUUAAUCCUUUCGUUAAUUAUGACAUCUAUUCUGCUUCCUAAUUUAAAGAGAUUGGAUCGAUUGACUUGAAUUAAUUUUGGAUAUCUCUAAAUAUCCUAGACUUUAUAAGGAUAUUCUUGAUGCUACUUUUCUUGCUACUUUUGGGGAUUGUAUUAUGAUUGAUCUCAAUGUUAGUAAGUCCAAAAAAGCUUUAUAUUCAAGACUUGCAUAAGAAUUAUAUAUCAAUAUUAGUAGACUUGCAUAAGGAGGAAAUAGUGCCCUUUUUGUGAAAUAAGUUGUUAUGCUAUAUCUUAGAUCUUAGGUUAUACUUGGAGCCAUAUGGCUUAUCUCAACAUUUGUAUGUAUGAACCGUAGCAGGGUCAUGCGAGAUAGCCCUUUAGAACAACUGAUAGGCCUGCCAACUACAAGAAAGCUAGCAUUGAAAAACAAGAUUGUGUUUGGAACUGGUGAUUACUGGUGUGCCCCAACUUUGACUGCAAAUAUGGCAUUCGUGAGAGCAGUAGCAUAGACAGGGAUGGCUUUGUUUACUAUUGAGCAUAGUCUAUAGGCUUUAAUAGGUAACUAGAUGCACUAACCAGUCAGACAUGCCGGUAAGAAGAGAUCUAUUUUUGGUUAAAGCGCUCUUGGGCUAUGUUUAUUGUUGUUACCUACAACUUAUAUACAAUUAACCAGACUUGCUUUUUUACUAACAUUUUGGCUGUUUCAAUUAAUGAAAGGCAUAGUUAGAGAACAUUUUAAAGGAAGAUGGUCACUUUUUCCCAUUAGAUAGAGACAGAUAUAUAUAAUAAUUUAACCAAGAAGGCUUAAGCUUAAGAGACAUUAGCCUUUAUGCUUGAUUAUAUCAUAUUAUGGUUAACUAGCUACCCUAGAAGCUCUGAAGUUGCGGUAAUAAUUUGCUGAUCCUCUUCAGUUAGAAGCUUGCCCAUUAUUUUGCAAACUUUAUUAUAUGUCAUUGUCACUAGGGCUGAAGAGAAGAUUGUAAAAACCAAAAUAAACUGCAGUGUUCAGUUUGCUUAUGUAUGGCUUUUAGCUUUUUUUUAAUAAAAAGAUUCACAAUACUGCGUAUUAGCUGGAUUUUUACUCUAGAAGAACGGAGUAAAACCGUGAUUGCUCUUAUUCUUCACUUUUGCUUGAUAGAGUAACAAAGUUUGAGUUGGUUAGAUGUUGUGAGAACCAACCCAUAGAAUAAUGGAAUUGGUAUGAUGUGCAACAUUAAGGCUUUGCUUUUAUGUUAUUAUUUUAGCUUGGAAUGAUUUGUUUUUAUGUAUUAAGGUAGAAAAUGGCUAUCUCUUUCAUCUCAUUUUUCAAAGAAAAUUAUGUAAAAGAUAUGUUUAUAAAAAAAAUUCAUGUAAAAAAUCGACAAUUAGGCUUUAAUUGAAAGGGUAGAGUUGAGGUUUAUGAAAAUCUUAUUGUCUUAGGUUCAAUUCUAAGAUUUAUUUUGGGUUUAAUUUGUUUUUUUUAUUAUAUAAAUUUUAUAUAAAAAGACACAAAUACGUUUAUAGUAAUAUAUUUUUUUAAAAUGUCUUUUAAAUUUUUUUAUAACUAAAUUGGUGUUCAAUUAACUCAUGAAAUUAACUCAGUCAAAAUAAUAAUAUAGAUAAAAAAUACAAUAGGAAAAGGUUACACAAACAUAAUACAUAUACAAAUAUUAAAAUUUGUAUAAAAUAGAAAUAAAGUACACGAAUUGCCCAAGUUAGGGAGAUUUCCACAUUUAUUGAUACAAUCCCAUAAAUGGAAAACUAAUUUGGCAUGUGAAUGACACACUGCAAGCAUUUUCCUUCUCUCAUCAGAGUGAAAGCUUUGUUGAUGUCCUCAAAUGGCGGAUUAUGUGUGAUGAACUCAUCAACUUGUAUUUCCUAUGAAAACAAUGAUAAACUUAUAUAUAGAUAGAUAGAUGCAUGCAUGUAUGCAUAAGAUAAAAUAACAUUCACAGACAUGCAUGGUUUCCACCUUCAAGCUUGCUGAAUGUUCUACAGAUUCACAACCAUGGAAAAUCGAGGUUUAUUGUGAAACACCUUAGUCUUGCCUUUUUAUUCUCAAGAUUUUUCCUUUUAGGUUUUCGUCCAUAUAUUAUACUCACUUUGAUGAUUUAGUCUUUAUACUUUAAUUUGACAUGAUUUGGUCCUACUAUUAUUAAUGUUUAUGCCUUAGUUCAAAUCACCAAUAUCGUUAUGAAGUUCCAUUAAUCAAGUGAUGUGGAAUUAACCCCCCCGAAAUUUUUGUUAUAAAAAUAAGUUAUUUUUUCACUAAUUUAUCAAUGAAGUAAUAAGUACGAAUCAAUCUAACAAGAUGUUAUGGAAAAUCUUACCCGGUUCAUGUACUUGUUUACUAAUGAAGGAAGAUCAGAUUUAGGUUUCCAUCCUCCAAAUAGGGACCCUUUCAAUGUUUUCCCAGAAAGAAAUGCUGAAUAAUUAGAUGUUAUUUCUGAGUUCAUUUUUGGUACACCGUGAGUAACUGUUAAACCCCAUCCCUACGGAAUGGAUGGAAAAGAAACUGGUGAGUUUCAAUUUUGAUGAUUAAGAAUCUUCUUUAAAACAGAGAAGGAUUAUCAAAUCAUGAGUCAAGGAAAUUACGUCAAAGCACGAUUGCAGUGCAGUUGUUACCAUUCCGGUGUUGCCUAUGCAUUCGAAGGAGUAAUCUGUCCCUCCACCGAAUAUUUGCUUCCCUCCACCGAAUAUUCGCUUAAUAACCUCUUUUAAAUGUAAAUUUAUUAAUAUAUGUAAAAACAAUUUAAAAUAUAAAUUUAUUAAUAUACGUAAAAAUAACUUUUCUAGAAAAUAUUUUCAGAAAAUCAACCAAACAACAAAAAAUAUUUUACACAGAUUCAUCCAAACACCAGAAAAGUAAAUCAUUUCCAGAAAAGUAAAUCAUUUUUCAAAAAUCAUUUUUCGGAAAAUAUUUUACUGCCAAACAAACGGAGCCUUAUUAUAUUAAUUAACCUAAAUUAACCUAAUGGGCUUUCUUACUCUUAGUGUCAACAAUGCAGACCUCUAGCCUAUGAUCGAUUAAAUCCCUAAUUCUCUAAUUCAAUAAUUAAUUUGUAACAACCUCAUUUUUAGUGGUAUGGAAAUAAUGGUUUCAGGACCACAAAUCUAACGAGUGAGUUCGAAAAUUUUACUAAUUAAUAUUUAUGAGUCAAGUAUAAUAUUAUUGAAAUUCUGAUUUAAUAAAUUUUAUUAAUUGGUUGUAUAGUUAAGUUCAAGUGGUUAAUUCCUAAGUCAAGUGAUUUUGGAAAAGAGGUAUCAGGACCUCGUUUCUAUAAAUCUAGUUUAUAAAUAUUUUUAUUAAAUAUUUAUGGAAUGAUUAUAUAGGUGUAUUGAAAUUUGGUUAAGAAAUUUUAAUGUUUGGAUAGUUAACUAAUUGAAAAGGAUUAAAUUAUAAAAGCUACAAAAGUUAAAUUCUAUUAAUUAAAGGUGUUAAAUAGUUAAAUUAAUAAUGUCACAAUGGCUUAUGUGGAAAUAAUAUAAUAGGCAAAUGGUAUUAAUGGUUGGUGCUUAAAAUUGGUUAAUUAUAUGUUAUAUUUUAAUAAAAAAUUAAAGAAAAGUUAAGUUAAAAUAAUAACAUAGCAUUUUUAUUUAUUAUGUUCAUCUUCUCUAAGUCGAAAGAACACCAUUGUUGACACCAAGGAGGUUCGGCCCAGCUCUAUCCCAUACACGUGUGAGAUUUUGAGGUCCGUUUUUAAUGAUUUUUAUGUUUUUGUGAUCGUUUUAACUUAAUCUGGUUAAACCAAGGGCUCAUUCGUAAGAUUGUUAAAAGUUUAGGGACUUUCCAUGAAUGAUUUAAGUGUGUUUUUGAAUUUAUUUAUUAGAUUAUUAAGCUUGGUUGUUAAAUAGAAGUAUUUUAUAAAGUAAUUUUUAGUAAUUUUAAUGUUUAGGGAUUAAAUUGUUUAAAUUGUAAAACUACAUGAAUUUUUUGUAAAAAAAUGGUAAAUAUGGGCUGUAAAGGGUUCCUAGUAAAUUCGACUAGCAUGAUUAUUCUUUAAAAAUGGUAAAGUUGCAAGUUUCAAGUUUAGAGACUAAAUUGUACAAAAGUUAAAAAGUUGGGAUAAUUUUGUAAAAUAGUGAUAGAAGGGUGAAAUUGUAUAAAAUUGCUUAUUUAAGUGCUAGAAAAGUAUUAAUUGAAUGAAAUUACUAUUUAGAUAAAAAACGUAACAACCGGAUUUAAAUCGAGAAAAAACUAACUUUUCAGACUAGUUGUCAAACUUUUUUUUGCAACUAUUUUAGUCUAGGUAAGUUCAUAAUUUAAUUAAAGUAAUUCAUUUGAUUUAUAGAAGUAAAUUGAUUCUUAUUUAUAUAUGUUUAUAAAUUGGUGAUUGAAUUCACAGAUUUGAGAAAAGGGAAAGACCAUGAUUGAGAGAUAUCAUGGCAUUAUAAUAAAAAAGGAAUAGACCAUAGUUGAAAGAUAAUACGUUACUAUACUGGAAAAAGAUCAAGGCCAUAGUUGAAAGAUACUAUGGUAUCACUUCGAGAUUGUGUAAGACCGUAGUUGAAAGAUACCACGGCAUCUUCGGAACAAUGAAACAAUUGAUAAGGAUAUCAAAGGAAUGGCUAUUAUAUCAAUGUUCUAAGGUUUGGUAUGUGAAUAAGAACUUAUGAGUAUUAUAUUAAUGGAUUGAAGUUUCUUAUGCGAAUAGAAGGUUGAAUUGAGUUUUAAAUGUUGAAUUGAGUUUUAAAUAAGUGUACUUUUAAUGUUUUAUGCCAUAAUAAAGUCAUUUAUUUCAUUUGGUUCAAUGAGUAUUAAUGAAUUAAAAUGUGAGUUAAAUUAUAUGAAGUGUAAUGUGAUUAUGAAUGUUGAAAUGAAAGAUGAUGGUUUAAUGCUUUGAAUGGAAUAUGUUAUGCAAAAUGGUAUUUGUGAUGAAUGAAAGAUAUAUUUGGUAUGUUAUUAUUAUGUGUUUAUGAUAAUAUUAUGUGUAUCUUAUUGAGCUCACUAACUUGUUGGGACUUUUGAUGUGUAUAGGAUAUUAUAAGUUCAUGAGCAUGAUAACAAAAAUUAUACAUCAAGUUUAUAUAAUUGAGCCUAGUAGGUAAGUUUACGUUUAUAAUUAUACGAGCUUACUAAGAGCUAGUGGCUUAUUUAGUUGUUUUCUCUUCUUGUAGAUAAUCGGAAAUCUUGAUUGGUUGGAAUCUCGUCGAAGUACAAUCACACUAUCCAUCCAUCAUUUUGGUAGUUUUUGGUUACAUUGGUUAAUGGUUCUAAAUGGCAUGUAAUAGGAGCUUUCAUACUAUUUUGCCAAAGUGAUGUGGCUUGAGCUUAUACUUAGAUUACUUGUGUGUACAUAUGUCUUGAUUUUGGAUUGUAAAUGUCUACAUGAAUAUAUUUCUUUGGUCAUUGGAAUGACGAAAAUGUGUAAGUGCACACAAUCGCAACAAGUAAUAAAGUGACAAGUAAAUGUCGAGUUAUCGUACCCACAGGGACUGUGACAAGAAUUAUUUAUGAAUGCUAUUUAAAACACUUUGGUGAGG
rnacentral:lncRNA from 1 species